UUGCCUCCUCGUCUGCAUUAGGCAUAACUAAUCAGACAAACACUGCCUCAAAUAGCUUUCUUUUCAGUGUAAGAAACUCUGAGUUUGCUAGUAAAUGUUUUAACAAGUUUGCAAGCAGGUCGGGACUGCAUUUUGUUAAUAUGUUCAAACCAAGAGGACUGGCUCGGAUCAGUGUUUUGGAUUAGCCCUUUGAUGUAGAUGAUAGGGUUUAUAGAGAGAACUUUAGUCUUAUGAUAAAACAUGAGCAUGGGCAAUCACUCAAACAACACUAAUGACUGUUGUACCCACUCUAUUAGCUAUGAUUGUGUUUGUUUCUUCACAAACAUACUUGUUGGUUCUAAUCAAUUAUGAAUCAUCUGUGUGAUUCUCUGUUGCCACUGUGAGGGGAGACAGCUAUGGAGUUUCUCCCCAUCGCUUUGGAUACCGUUCAUUCUGUUAAUAUAGAGCGGCUAGAGAUGCAAAGCUGUUUGAUCUGUCUCCUGGUAUGAUGAUUAGAGGAACGCAUGAGGACUUCUUAAAACAGCAGGUCUGGAAGAGGACAGAAGUGUUUGAUCUGUCUCCUGGUAUGAUGAUUAGAGGAACGCGUGAGGACUUCUUAAAACAGCAGGUCUGGAAGAGGACAGAAGUGUUUGAUCUGUCUCCUGGUAUGAUGAUUAGAGGAGCGCGUGAGGACUUCUUAAAACAGCAGGUCUGGAAGAGGACAGAAGUGUUUGAUCUGUCUCCAGGUAUGAUGAUUAGAGGAACGCAUGAGGACUUCUUAAAACAGCAGGACUGGAAGAGGACAGUGUUUGAACUGCUGUUUGGAAAACCAUUUUGAGCUGACCAGCAUUCGACUGAUCUCUGAUGAUUUUUUUGUUUGAAAUCUCCGGACCCCGGCCAACUUUAGUUUGUGGUAAAAGUAUUCUAGACACAUUUUAUUCUGAUAAAAAUACUGUUCGUUGACGCUAGUGAGGUUUGAGGCCAAAUAAGGACCAGGCUAUCGCACUGAAGGAGGCAGGUAUAGGCCUGAUAUUACAGUAGUACAGUCAGAAUUUAAAAUUGUGAUAAAAAAAAAAAAAGUAUAGUAAAUAUAAAACGAUAACAUUUGUGUGCCAUUUUGGGGUGCAAAUCAUUCUUCUCCAACCACCCACUUAUGUCUAUCCUUUCUUCCACUGCAUCUCCUUGAAAGCUUCUGGUGCUGUGAUCAUCUGGAGACGCCACCCACUCAGCAGCAUCUAUUUCCUGUUUCUCUCUCACUGGCAGCUUUUUCUGUUUUAAUUAAACCUUCAUCUGGGUGGCAGAAGAGUGUAAAAAAAUCUGAGUUAUGAUAGCAGCGCCGCUCGCCACCCCACUAUCUGCCUAAUUGACUGCACCGCGUCUCCACGAACGACGCCUCCCCUGGUUUGCUUUGGGAGGAGAGACUGAGCUUUCUGCCUUUCUUAUCUCUCUUUUUUUCCCUUUAUCUCACUUUUUCCUCUCCCUCUCUCCUACUGUAGCUGGAGGCUGCUGGCUUUUUGUUGAACUCCAUGUUGCUCUUAUAUGUCUAACAAACUAACACUGCUUUCUGCUGAUAUUUUUAUCAAGCUGGAGAGCAAGGAAAUCCAACAGCUCAGGUUUACAGUAGGAUGUACAGCUAACUGCCUAAAUAAUGGAAACACUGAUUAAAGUGUGCAAAUAGGGCGGGCCACCACGAGCCUCCAGAACAGCUUCAAUGCGCCUUGGCAUAGAUUCUACAAGUGUCUGGAACUCUAUUGGAAAGAUGUGCCACCAUUCUUCCAUGAGAAAUUCCAUAAUUUGGUGUUUUGUUGGUACUGAUACAGGUGUAUGCUACUUUGAGACCCCUCUUUUCAAAAUCACUGAGAUCUAGCCAUGGUAGCCAAAAUACUGGGCAUACUUAUACAUGACCCUAAGUAUGAUGGGAUGUUCAUGCUUAAUUAAAUACAACUCAAGAACCUGCUUUCAAUAUACGUUAUAUCCCUAAUUUCCUGAAGUGUUUCAUUUAUUUUGGCAGUUACAUUACCUGUAGUUGUUGGCUCAGGUUUAGUUACUGCCGAGACAACAGAUUACCUUCUGUGAAAACGUUUACUCUUCUGUUUACAUCAACUUGAAUUUCAGCGAGUUGAUUGGUGAAUAAUCACUCUUUCAGUCUCACAAGAUAAAAACAUAAAUAUAGAUGGAGAUUUUCAAGGUGGGAGAUGUAUGUUUUCAUCUCCUUUCUGAGAACAUCUUCUUCUGCUCUGUAUGUAAAGGGGUAAAGAGGAUAAUGUCCUACCAAUAGGUUAAUUGCUAAAUCUGUAGUUUUGUGUGAUCCUCACAUCAGUGCUUUUCUGUUGCAGCCUGUUCCAGCACUACUGCUACUCCAGCGGGGGAAUGCGUCACACCUCCUACACCUGUAUCUGUGGAACGAAACAUGAUGGAUGCCGUGCUGUCCCUGAUGUGAUCUGACCCUGGAUUCAGUCAUCAUAUAGCCUAACCCUAGAGUGUGAUUGAAGCUAGGUCAAGUGGACAGAGAUGCACCGUCUGGCUGACCGGGUUCACCUAGAGGAGCUGGUGAAGAUUGGGAUCCUGUGUGGGAGUGUGGAGGACAUGCUGCAGGUCCACAUGGGCUCUGUCUUCAUGCCC